rnacentral:rRNA from 1 species
UACAGAGGGUGCGAGCGUUAAUCGGAAUUACUGGGCGUAAAGCGCGCGUAGACGGCUUGUUAAGUCAAAUGUGAAAUCCCCGAGCUUAACUUGGGCAUUGCAUUCGAUACUGGCAAGCUAGAGUAUGGGAGAGGAAGGUAGAAUUCCAGGUGUAGCGGUGAAAUGCGUAGAGAUCUGGAGGAAUACCGAUGGCGAAGGCAGCCUUCUGGCCUAAUACUGACGCUGAGGUGCGAAAGCAUGGGGAGCAAACAGG